rnacentral:rRNA from 1 species
UCAUCACAUCCUGGGGCUGUAGUAGGUCCCAAGGGUUGGGCUGUUCGCCCAUUAAAGUGGUACGCGAGCUGGGUUCAGAACGUCGUGAGACAGUUCGGUCCCUAUCCGUCGCAGGCGUAGGAAAUUUGAGAAGACCUGUCCUUAGUACGAGAGGACCGGGAUGGACGUACCUCUGGUGUACCAGUUGUCCUGCCAAGGGCAUGGCUGGGUAGCUAUGUACGGAAUGGAUAAGCGCUGAAAGCAUCUAAGCGCGAAGCCAACUUCAAGAUAAGAUUUCCCACCGCAAGGGUAAGACCCCAGAAAGACUAUCUGGUUGAUAGGUCGAAGGUGUAAGUGCAGCAAUGUAUUUAGCUUAUCGAUACUAAUAGGUCGAGGACUUGACCAAU